AGCAGCCGCGGUAAUUCCAGCUCCAGUAGCGUAUAUUAAAGUUGCUGCAGUUAAAAAGCUCGUAGUUGAAUUUCGGGACCAAUAUGUCGGUCGUGCCUCGGUACGUACUGGCAUCGUUGGUUUCUCCCUUCUGACGAACCAUGAUGUCAUUUAUUUGGCGUCGUGGGGAAUCAGGACUGUUACUUUGAAAAAAUUAGAGUGUUUAAAGCAGGCUCACGCUUGAAUACAUUAGCAUGGAAUAAUGAAAUAGGAACUUUGGAUCCAAUUGUGGUGGUUUCUAGGAUCGACGUAAUGAUUAAUAGGGAUAGUUGGGGGCAUUAGUAUUCAAUUGUCAGAGGUGAAAUUCUUGGAUUUAUUGAAGACUAACUACUGCGAAAGCAUUUGCCAAGGAUGUUUUCAUUAAUCAAGAACGAAAGUUAGGGGAUCGAAGACGAUCAGAUACCGUCGUAGUCUUAACCAUAAACUAUGCCGACUAGGGAUCGGAUGAUGUUAAUUUUUUAAUGACUCAUUCGGCGCCUUACG
rnacentral:rRNA from 1 species